CCCCUAGAUGUUCUGGGCCGCACGCGCGCUACACUGAACAGUUCAACAAGUCUUAACCUUGGCCGAUAGGUCUGGGUAAUCUUUGAACGCUGUUCGUGAUUGGGAUAGACCUUUGCAAUUAUGGGUCUUCAACGAGGAAUUCCUAGUAAACGCAAGUCAUCAGCUUGCAUUGAUUACGUCCCUGCCCGUUGUACACACCGCCCGUCGCACCUACCGAUUGAAUGGUCCGGUGAAAUCUCGGGACGGCGGCUUGGUCGCUUGCGUCCGACUGCUGAAACUUGAUUAAACCAUAUCAUUUAGAGGAAGGUGAANUCGUAACA
rnacentral:rRNA from 1 species